rnacentral:rRNA from 1 species
GACGAAGGGGGCUAGCGUUGUUCGGAAUUACUGGGCGUAAAGAGCUUGUAGGCGGUUUGUCGCGUCUGCUGUGAAAAUCCGGGGCUCAACCCCGGACUUGCAGUGGGUACGGGCAGACUAGAGUGUGGUAGGGGAGACUGGAAUUCCUGGUGUAGCGGUGAAAUGCGCAGAUAUCAGGAGGAACACCGAUGGCGAAGGCAGGUCUCUGGGCCACUACUGACGCUGAGAAGCGAAAGCAUGGGGAGCGAACAGG